AAGAAUUCAGUCCUCAUGAAAAUUCAAAUUUGAAAUCAUACAAAAUUACUCUACAAAAUUCAUUGAAACCCUAACUUUUAUACUGCAGCUCACACCUUCGUCGCCGGCAGAAUUGCUGCCGUAAAUCUCCUCCGCCUGCCUCCGUAAAUCUCCUCCCCCGCCAUUCCGGAGAGACACGCUAUGCUGCCUCCGCCGUUGUUUCCGUAAACUUCCUUCACCGCUUCGACAAAUAGUUCCACCCGCGGUGCCGCCUCUUUUCUUUGCGGCCCCAGGCGAUUCCCGGCGCCGCCCCUUCCCUCUGCCUCAAUCGAUCUGGCGACGCCUUUCCCCCUGCCUCAAUUGGUCUAGCGCGAGGCGAUUCAAACGAUCAUACGCCGCAGUAGCAGGAAACGCGAACUCAGUCCAUCUAAUUCAAUUAAUCUGAUUCAAGGAAGAGUAUCGAUUUGCAGCUUCGUCUUCAUAUAUAUCGAGCUACAAUGCUGUUUGUCAACUUGCAAACAGGGAUUUCAAACACUUGCUCAUCUAAGCAGUUAUUUUGGCAAGCCGGAUAAAGUCAUGGUUCUGGGAGCUUCCAUCCGGUGUCCUUGAUGGCCUCUCGCCUAAGCAAGUCUUGCAGUGUGAAACAGAGGAUGAUUGUGUCGAACUAGUUAAGCAGAGGAUGAUUGUAUAUAAACACUGAGAUCUCGUAGAAUCAUUAGUGUAGUAGCUAGGUUUCUCAUUCGGAUUGAAUUUGUAUAGAUUAUUAUGUGCCAUUAAUAAAUGUUUGUUAUUAUGUGCCA